rnacentral:lncRNA from 1 species
UGACAAAUGCGAUUAUAUUCAGACUUAUUUAAGUUCACAAGUUUAAAAAGAGGGACUUAUAAAAUAACCGAUGAAAAUUAUACUUGAACUAUAGUUUUGGAAUACUUGUCGACGAUUCUAUUUUAUACAUUUAUUUGUGAAUAUAUGCAAUACUUUUUUAAGUAAAAUUUGUUAAAAAGAUGCUUUAUAAAAAAUUAUUCUAAAAAAUAAGUGAAAAAUCUAAU